rnacentral:rRNA from 1 species
AGCGGCGGACGGGUGAGUAAUGCCUAGGAAUCUGCCCUUUUGUGGAGGAUAACCCGGGGAAACUCGGGCUAAUACUGCAUAAUCUCUACGGAGCAAAGCGGGGGAUCUUUUGACCUCGCGCAGAAGGAUGAGCCUAGGUCUGAUUAGCUUGUUGGUGGGGUAACGGCCUACCAAGGCGACGAUCAGUAGCUGGUCUGAGAGGAUGAUCAGCCACACCGGGACUGAGACACGGCCCGGACUCCUACGGGAGGCAGCAGUGGGGAAUAUUGGACAAUGGGCGAAAGCCUGAUCCAGCCAUGCCGCGUGUGUGAAGAAGGCCUUAGGGUUGUAAAGCACUUUAAGCAGGAAAGAAAAGCGCCGGAUUAAUACUCCGAGCGUAUUGACGGUACCUGCAGAAUAAGCACCGGCUAACUCCGUGCCAGCAGCCGCGGUAAUACGGAGGGUGCAAGCGUUAAUCGGAAUUACUGGGCGUAAAGCGUGCGUAGGCGGUUGCGUGUGUCAAAUGUGAAAGCCCCGGGCUCAACCUGGGAAUUGCAUUCGAAACUGCGUGACUAGAAUAUGGUAGAGGAAGAUGGAAUUCCACGUGUAGCGGGUGAAUGCGUAGAUAUGUGGAAGGACAACAUGGCGACGGCAUCUUCUGGGGCAUAUGACGCUGAGGUACGAAGCGUGGUAGCCAACAGGAUAGAUACCCUGGCUAUUCAC